AUUAUAUUUUCAUUUCUUGUAAUGGAAUUUUAUAUCUUGUUAUGUUUUAAUUGUUCUGGGUUCGUUUGUGAUUAAGCAGAGUUGUUAUGUAUUAUGUAUGACUAGAAAUUCUGGCUACACCACUGGCAUUAUCAGAUGCGGCUCGGCUAACCUGAGUAUCAGUCUCUAUUUUACAAAUAGAGCCUGACACAAAACUUAACCUGAUCGCUUUCCGCCCACAGCAAAGUUUAUAUUUAGUAUCCAAUCAAAAUGUCGCAGGAGAAAUUUAAAUUUCACACAACGGCAACAACAAUCUAAUUAUAGCAUAGGCGCCCACUAAACGGCUGAAUUUAAAUUAAAACUGCAAUGAACUUAUAAAAUUAACAAAAAUAAUCACAAAUUAGCGAAAUAUAUUGCAAAUGUAGCUUAUAUUAAAUCGCCACCCGACUGCUCUCUCCUCCGCAGAGAUAUUACUUUAGAAGUAUACUUUAUAACUAUACGUCAGUCGAUAGUGCAAUCUGAUGGCGAUUUAAUAUAAGCUACAUUUGCAAUAUAUUUCGCUAAUUUGCGAUUAUUUUCUAAUUUUACUGCAGUUUUAAUUUAAAUUCAGCCGUUUAGUUGGCCGGCUAUAAUUGUAAUUGUGAUCAUUAUAAAAUAUAUCAACAACAAUAGUAUAAUCUAAUUAGCACCAGCCAAUCAAUUGACAGAUUUAAAAAUCGUUUGUCUAAUCGGCCAAUCAGCGCUCAGUCCAGAUUCUGGACUGAACAACCAGGCAAAAUGCCACUUUUGUGUCAGGCCGUACUUUUCUCCCCUUCGCCCACGAUCAGGCGUGCCUGUGCCCUAAAAAGUACGGCCUGAUACUCAGGUUACGGCUCGGCAUUAAUUUCACUGAAGUAGUUUCCGUGCAAGAAAGGGCGCGAGGAACACGAAACCAUAAUACUAUUAAUAGGCAGCUUCUGUAUAAAGGCUUGUUUCCACUCAGGAAAUUUAUCCGUGGAUUGGAACGGACAAGAAAGUUUUUCUUUGUCUUGUGAGCUCUGGGUUGGAACUAAUGACUUUAACACAAAGAAAAAUUUUCUUGUCCGUUCCAAUCCACGGAUAAUAUUCCAGAGUGGAAACUAGCCUUAACACAAUAACCAGAAUUUAGUCCUGUUUCAAACGUCGCGCUUUCUCAUGUGCCGAACGCAUUAAAAACAAUAGAUAAUCGGCUGACAUGCCUCAUU